GAUGAAGAACGUAGCGAAAUGCGAUAAGUAAUGUGAAUUGCAGAAUUCCGUGAAUCAUCGAAUCUUUGAACGCAUAUUGCGCCCCCUGGUAUUCCGGAGGGCAUGCCUGUCCGAGCGUCAUUACUACCUUCAAGCGCGGCUUGGUUGUUGAGCCAUUGUUCUUUGAUGGACAGGCUUGAAAUGCAGUGGCGAUGCUGAGUCUGGUGCCUGAGCGUAUGGAGCUCUGUUACACGCUUUAAUGGCCCAGCCGGCAUUUGUGAAAAUUUAAAGCAAGACAUUUGCUUUUUAUCUAAGAUUUAACCUCGGAUCAGGUAAGGAUACCCGCUGAACUUAAGCAUAUCAAUAAGCGGAGGA
rnacentral:misc_RNA from 1 species